rnacentral:rRNA from 1 species
AGUGGCGGACGGGUGAGUAAUGUAUGAGCAACCUGCCUUUCAGAGGGGGACGAACAGUUGGAAACGACUGCUAAUACCGCAUAAUGUAUUGAGGAGGCAUCUCCACGAUACCAAAGGAGCAAUCCGCUGAAAAGAAUGGGCUCAUAUCUGAUUAGUUAGUUUGGCAGGGUAACGGGCCUACCAAGACUGCGAUCAGUAGCCGGACUGAGAGGUUGAACGGCCACAUUGGGACUGAGAUACGGCCCAGACUCCUACGGGAGGCAGCAGUGGGGAAUAUUGGGCAAUGGGCGAAAGCCUCGACCCAGCAACGCCGCGUGAAGGAAGAAGGUCUUCGGAUUGUAAACUUCUUUUAUGAGGGACGAAGGACGUGACGGUACCUCAUGAAUAAGCCACGGCUAACUACGUGCCAGCCGCCGC